CGGGGCGUAGCGCAGCCCGGUAGCGCAUCUGCUUUGGGAGCAGAGGGUCGGUGGUUCAAAUCCACUCGCCCCGACCA
rnacentral:tRNA from 1 species